rnacentral:rRNA from 1 species
UACGGAGGGAACUAGCGUUGUUCGGAAUUACUGGGCGUAAAGAGCGCGUAGGCGGUUUAUUAAGUUGGGAGUGAAAUCCCAGGGCUCAACCCUGGAACUGCUCUCAAAACUAGUAGACUAGAGUGUGAUAGGGGGUGAUGGAAUUCCUAGUGUAGAGGUGAAAUUCUUAGAUAUUAGGAGGAACAUCGGUGGCGAAGGCGAUCACCUGGAUCAUUACUGACGCUGAGGCGCGAAAGCGUGGGGAGCAAACAGG